rnacentral:rRNA from 1 species
GACGAACGCUGGCGGCAGGCCUAACACAUGCAAGUCGAACGCCGUAGCAAUACGGAGUGGCAGACGGGUGAGUAACGCGUGGGAACAUACCCCUCGGUUCGGAAUAACUCAGGGAAACUUGAGCUAAUACCGGAUACGUCCGAUGUUUUAAUCGACCUUGGAGAAAGAUUUAUCGCCGGAGGAUUGGCCCGCGUCUGAUUAGCUUGUUGGUGAGGUAAUGGCUCACCAAGGCGACGAUCAGUAGCUGGUCUGAGAGGAUGAUCAGCCACAUUGGGACUGAGACACGGCCCAAACUCCUACGGGAGGCAGCAGUGGGGAAUAUUGGACAAUGGGCGAAAGCCUGAUCCAGCCAUGCCGCGUGAGUGAUGAAGGCCUUAGGGUUGUAAAGCUCUUUUACCCGGGAAGAUAAUG